UUAAGCUAUAGGCACUGAAGAUGCUAAGAUGAAAAUUAAAAAUUUCCGCAAGCA
rnacentral:tRNA from 1 species